CACGGAAGUUCGUCUGCAGUCUCUGCACUCUCUUGUGUAGCUACAAGUUUUUUGUCCACAGGCGGAUAGGCCCACGCCCCACAGCACUGAUGGUUUAAAUCAUCCCACCACUUCGAUCUGAUGCAACAGCAGCAAGUCUAAGAUUUUCAAGUACAGUGUUGCUGUUGAAGUUACCUCUGCUUGCAAUUAAUCCAAUGAUGUAGAACGUGUAGAACAAGUAUGUAAUUAAGUGAACUUAAACAUUUAGUGUUAGCUACACUUACCCAUGUGACUACCAGACACAAUGAUUGCCUAAAAUUAGACAAAUUCCAAUCUUCAGUCUACAUGGGGAUCGGCAUGGAUUACAGUUCCACAUCAGAAAAUAAAAUAUCAGUGAUGAAAAGAACUCAACAUUGGUGUAAAAAAACUCUGGAAUCUUUGGGUCACGACCGACAUUGACACGAAUGCUGGUUCCAUAUAAAACGCAUCUUAGCCGAACUGACGUUCCGGAAGAAAUUGGCUUCGGUGAUGUUCUCAUUGAGGAAAGUAGUACUGGACACUACUCGAGCCCCUAUCAAAUGAACUGUUGUUGCAGUUCUAAUCAAGAUGAAAUUUGAAAACCCCUGUAUCACAAGCUACAGUAUUUGAAGCAGGUGACUCCCACAAUACAGUUGACAAAGAAGUAUCAGAUCGAGUCCUUAUCAGUGUGGGCCUAGUUCUCCCCCCAGUCAAUCCGGCUGAAGAAAAUGCGUCGCAGCCGGAAACAUCUUGUAGUUAUUUCAUGUUAAUUGAUUUGGAAUUCGAUGAAGUACUGCCGAAUUUGGAUCGUGGACAGCAUCAUUCCUUUGGCUGAAGAAGAUCUCGGUUCUCUAGGAUGACCUGGCGCUACAGCUCACAUUCUUGUCCAGGAUCAACUCGCUUAUUCACUCCCACCAUUUGGGGACUUUAUUGCCGAAUUUUCCGAUAUCGUACCAAAUGAAGUUGUUGUUCACCGUUCCACAUCGGAAGCCACUACUCCAGUUCCAGUGAUCGUUUUCUACUCUUCGUCUUUCUAGGGAGAGCCUAGAGUAGCAUUUCCGAUACAAGCCUCAGACAGUAGGUG